AAUCCAUGAUGUGGGCAUUUUUUAAUCAGCAUUUUAAAGCGCUCCCUAGCUUCAUGGAAACUUUCUCCUUCUAGUUGUUUGAAUGUAACAAUCUCCCUCAUUAGUUG
rfam:Gossypium hirsutum cultivar TM-1 chromosome 12, whole genome shotgun sequence